rnacentral:rRNA from 1 species
UACGAAGGGGGCUAGCGUUGCUCGGAAUCACUGGGCGUAAAGCGCACGUAGGCGGAUUGCUAAGUCAGGGGUGAAAUCCUGGAGCUCAACUCCAGAACUGCCUUCGAUACUGAGAGUCUCGAGUCCGGGAGAGGUGAGUGGAACUGCGAGUGUAGAGGUGAAAUUCGUAGAUAUUCGCAAGAACACCAGUGGCGAAGGCGGCUCACUGGCCCGGUACUGACGCUGAGGUGCGAAAGCGUGGGGAGCAAACAGGG